UACAUCCUUAUAAUUUUCCUUAUUAUGACAAGUUAUAUAAUGAAAUAUAUAAUCAUAUGCAAAAAUUAAAAAGCGACAACAGGAAUGAUAAUUCCACAAUGAAUGAUGACAGGGAUACCAAUUGCAGUAAGAAUGGAACUGAAACGAAAACUGGAACAAUCACAAAUACGGGUAGCAUUAAAAAUAGCAGCAUCGACUUCAACUUGGUUUAUAAGUUAGUAGAAAAGCUACCAGACGAAUACUAUGCAUAUGUAGACGUACUCAUAAAAGAAAUAUUAAAAAUAAGAGAUUUAAUAUAUAGAAAUAGUUAUCUUAGAUAUAUCUUUUAUUAUAUAUAUAAAAAUAGUAACAAUAAUGUAUCUUAUAUUAUUAAUCAUGUAUUCACAACAGAAAUAAGAAAAAUAAUGUUAUACAAAAUGCAAAUGAAAAUGCGAUAUAACCUAUUCAUUUCACGUUUCAUGGAAAGUAACUUUAACAAUAACAAUAGUAACAACAACAGGAACAACAACACUAACAACAACUUUAACAACAACUUUAACAACAGCAUUAACAACAACGAAAUAAGUAAUAACAACCAGAACAAUAACAGAAACAAUAAAAAAAAUAGGAACAACAACAAUAGUAACAAUAAACGUAAAAAAUGCCAUAAUAAUAAUUUGUGUCAGAAAAAUGUUAAUGAACUUAACUUCGUACAGGCAAAACAUAAAUUAUCUAAUUUGCUGUAUUUUAAAUAUAAUAAAUAUUAUGAAGAACUCACAAAUGAGAAUGAAAAUAUAAAAAAACUGAAACGUACAGUUUUAAAUGUUGAGGUAGAUAAUUUUUCUAUCAUUAAAAAAAGAGUAUCAAUAUAUAGUGAUUAUUUGAGUAAAAUGAAAAAAAAAUUGUUUACUGAAAAUGAAACCUUUGUGGAAACAGAAAUGCUUACGCAAACGAACGCCAAUAUAGAGAAAAACGAGGUAAAACAUGAACAAAAACAAGGAUACCAACAGCAACAGUACAAAUCAGAUAAGCUAAAUUUUAAUGUGCCUUACAGUUAUAUCCAAUUUUUAUUUAAUAAAAACGAAGUCAUGUUUAUAAUAGGUGAAAAAGGAAACUCAAGAAAAUAUAAAGCAGCAUAUAUUAUUAAUAAUAAUAAUACAGAUGAAAAUGAAAACUUAUUAAUUAUAACAUCAAUAGUAAACACACAUAAAUGGAAAAGUUUAUUUCCUACUUAUAAACAUGUUACAGUAUACAACAAUGAAGAACGUUUAUUACAGAAUAAAAUACAAAAUGUGCAAUCGAAUUUAAUUAUAUGUAU
rnacentral:lncRNA from 1 species